ensembl:lncRNA
AAUUAUUGAUGGCUGAAUUCAAUUUAGCCGCUUUGAUUUCAGGUGCCUGGUGUGCUGCGUGUUGGCUGGCUGCCACUCUCGAUGGAACACCUGAAUGGGACACAGCCAGCGUUUGUGUUAUUAGUAACACCUGCGCUUUUCCUGCCGCGACAUAUUACAACGUCUGCUGGGAGAAAGGCCCAUGGCUGAAGUAAUAAUAUGUUUUGGGCUACUUGGGGAACAGGCGAGGGAAAUUACAUAUUCACACAUCCAGCGGGCGGUGAGCAACGUUAGCAUUGCCUCGGGCUCAUGUUUCUGGUCGCGUGAGUAUGCGGCAGUAGAGGAUCUCAACACAACCAGGAUGCAGAGAAGUAAUCGGAGAAGGCACCAAUAAGUCUGGAAAAAACCCAAACGGGGUCCUGCGAUAUCUCGGUUGUCUCCUUCCAGGCCUGAAUGGACACAUUGUGCUGCUGCCCGCUGCUGUUCUACAGACCACUAGGUCCUCCACACACACCUGUCAAGCCAUGUCCGUGGCGCCUUGGGUGCUGAGACACUCCAGAGCCCCCCUGCUGUACACAUGGUUAUUGAACCCUUGCACACACACACACACUUAAACGUCCUAUAUGAAUAAAUAAACCCAUGUGGUCACGUAAACCUAUGUUUAGACACAGAAAUGCAUUCACAAGGACGCACACAAUUGAAUUUCACAAAUACACAGAGUAUGCAUUCAUGCUUUUUCACAAACAAACACACACACACUCAAAGACUUCUCUUUAUUGGAAACACGCCUCUCUCCCUUCGCCCAUGCCAAGGUUACAUGCGGGGCGGCUUCAGAUUUUAGAAAGGGUCAAGUUCCAUAUUUGUCAGGUGGGGGUUGGGGGCAAGGGUGCAGAAGGAAACAGCAUUCAGGAGUAGACCACCUGUAACCUGAUCUCCUGCUUCAAUCGGUUGCAGGUUUUCUCUUUUUGAGUUGAGUGGGCAGCAGUUGUGGGACACAGUGUUCUUUGCUUCCAUUUGGCAAAUGUGUUUACAUUUCUGCUUAAGUCAUUGAAAUGAUCAGCAAAUGUUUUUUUUAUUAUUUAUAAGCGAUUCAUCGGAGCUGAAACGGCUUUUAAUUGCUUUUCAGUUUAUUAAAUGAUUUGUGGAAAUUGAAUGGCAAUGUUUUUGGGAUUGAUUGAUUGAUUCAUUUAAUAUCUACUUCUUGCUAUUUCUAUGCAUGUAAACGAUUAUUUUUAGAUUCUGAGCAACUUAGUUGG